AUCCUCUCAGGAUUGCACCUGGACAGUUUCCAGUACUCUACCAGUCUCGACUACGGGAGGGAGAGUCAAGCAGAGGAAUAUCCAUUCCAUUCCUAGUUUGGGCAGUGUCUAGUGAGUGUAAGACAAUCUGUCUCAAGU